rnacentral:misc_RNA from 1 species
AAGUCGUAACAAGGUAUCUGUAGGUGAACCUGCAGAUGGAUCAUUUCGAUGAAAAACCUUUUUUCUGAGGUGUGGCUCGCACCUGUCCAACUAAACUUGAGCUACCUUUUUUAUACACGGUUGCAUCGGUCGGCCUGUCCAACAGUGCGGGAAUGUAUUUUCCGGCGCUGAGCAGACGAGUCGGCACUUUACACAAACACUUUUGAUAAUCUAGGAUUUGAAUGAAAGUUCAUUUUUAUGAUGGAUCCGACUGGUAAUGCGGUCGUCUAAAUCUAAAAAACAACUUUUGGCAACGGAUCUCUUGGUUCUCC